rnacentral:rRNA from 1 species
UACGAAGGGGGCAAGCGUUGCUCGGAAUCACUGGGCGUAAAGCGCACGUAGGCGGACUCUUAAGUCGGUGGUGAAAUCCUGGAGCUCAACUCCAGAACUGCCUUCGAUACUGAGAGUCUCGAGUCCGGGAGAGGUGAGUGGAACUGCGAGUGUAGAGGUGAAAUUCGUAGAUAUUCGCAAGAACACCAGUGGCGAAGGCGGCUCACUGGCCCGGUACUGACGCUGAGGUGCGAAAGCGUGGGGAGCAAACAGG